ensembl:lncRNA
AUGUGUCUGAGGCCAGAUUUGAACUCAGGUCCUCCUGAAUCCAAGGCUGGUGCUCUAUCCACUGCACCACCUAGCUGCCCCCUCUUUCUCUAUAUCUCUCACUCUGUUUUGGACCAUCUCCUGCUUUUUUCUCUUUCUCUCUCCCUUUGUCUCUACUUCUCUCUCCCUUACUCUCUUUCUGUGUAUCUCUCUUGCCUCUUUUCUUUUUCCUUUUAUCACUCUUUCCACCUUUUCUGUGUCUUUCUCUGCCUCUCUCUUUCUCUUUCUUCCUCUUUCUCUCUAUCUCUAUUUCUCUUUCCUUUUUUCUCUCUCCCCUGGUCUUUCUCUCCUCCCUCUUUCUCAUUUUCUCUUUCUGUGUGUAUCUCCCCCCGUCACUUUCUCUAUUUCCCUUUCUCUACCUCUUUCUGUAUCUCCUCUAUUUUUUUCACUUUUUUCUCUUUCCCUCUUUCUCUAUCUUUCACAUUCUCUCUCUUUUCUCUCUAUCCCUUUCCCUUUUUGUCUCUCUCUCCUUCACUUUCUCUCUGUCUCCCUUUUUUGCUUUCUCCAUCUCUCUCUCUGUCCUAUUUCUUUCUCUCACUGUCAAUUUGUCUGUCUUUCUCUCUCCUGCCACUGUGUGUCUCUCUCUCUGUUUCUUUCUAUCUCCCACUCUUUUUUGCUCUCUCUCUCUCUCCCUCCUUCUCACUCUCUGUCUCUCUCAUUCUCUUUCACUUUUUCUUCCUUUCUCUCCCUCUGUUUCUGUCUCUCACUCUUUCUUGCUUUCUCUCCCUCUUUCUCACUCUCUGUGUCAUUCUCUUUCAGUGUUUCUUUCUUUCUCUCCCUCUGUUUCUGUCUCCCACUCUUUUUUCCUCUGUCUCCACCUUCUUACAUUUGGUCUCUUUCAUUCUCUUUCAUUAUUUCUUUCUUUCUCUCCCUCUCUUUCUCUCUCUCUCCGACUCUUUUUUACUCUCUCUCCCUCCUUCUCACCCUCUGUCUCUCUCAUUCUCUUUCACUCUUUCUUUGUCUCCCUGCUUCUCUCUCCCACUCUUCUUGCUCUCUCUCCCUCCUUCUCACUCUCUCUCUCUCUCUCUCAUUCUCUUUCACUGUUUCUUUCUUUCUCUCCCUCUAUUUCUCUCUCUCCCUCCUUCUCACUCUCUGUGUCUCUCAUUCUCUUUUAGUAUUUCUUCCUUUCUCUCUCUCUGUUUCUGUCUGUCUCCCACUCUUUUUUGCUCUCUCUCCCACCUUCUCCCUCUCUGUCUCUCUCAUUGUCCUUCACUGUUCCUUUCUCUUUUUUCUUUCUCUCCCUGUUUCUGUCUCUAUUCCACUCUUUUUGGCUCUCUCUCCCUCCUUCUCGCUCUCUGUCUCUCUCAUUCUAUUUCACUGUUCUCUCUCUUUUUUCUUUCUCUCCCUCUGUUUCUAUCUCCCACUCUUUUUUUUGCUCUCUCUCCCUCCUCACUCUGUCUCUCUUCUUUCAUCGUUUCUUUCUCUUUCUCUCCCUCUGUUUCUGUCUCCCACUCUUUUUUACUUUCUGUCCCUCCUCAGUCUCUUUCUCUCUCAUUCUCUUUAACUGUUUCUUUCUUUCUCUCCCUCUGUUCCUCUUUGUCACCCACUCUCUUUUGCUCUCUCCCUCCUUCUCACUCUCUGUUUCUCUCCUUCUCUUUCACUGUUUCCUUCUUUCUCUCCCACUGUUUCUCCAUCUCUCCCUCCUUGUCACUAUCUCUCUCAUUCUCUUUUACUGUUUCUUUCUUACUUUCCCUGUUUUUGACUGUCUCCCACUCUUUUUUGCUCUCUCUC